UCGAGCGGAUGAAGGAGCUUGCUCCUGGAUUCAGCGGCGGACGGGUGAGUAAUGCCUAGGAAUCUGCCUGGUAGUGGGGGACAACGUUUCGAAAGGAACGCUAAUACCGCAUACGUCCUACGGGAGAAAGCAGGGGACCUUCGGGCCUUGCGCUAUCAGAUGAGCCUAGGUCGGAUUAGCUAGUUGGUGAGGUAAUGGCUCACCAAGGCGACGAUCCGUAACUGGUCUGAGAGGAUGAUCAGUCACACUGGAACUGAGACACGGUCCAGACUCCUACGGGAGGCAGCAGUGGGGAAUAUUGGACAAUGGGCGAAAGCCUGAUCCAGCCAUGCCGCGUGUGUGAAGAAGGUCUUCGGAUUGUAAAGCACUUUAAGUUGGGAGGAAGGGUUGUAGAUUAAUACUCUGCAAUUUUGACGUUACCGACAGAAUAAGCACCGGCUAACUCUGUGCCAGCAGCCGCGGUAAUACAGAGGGUGCAAGCGUUAAUCGGAAUUACUGGGCGUAAAGCGCGCGUAGGUGGUUUGUUAAGUUGGAUGUGAAAUCCCCGGGCUCAACCUGGGAACUGCAUCCAAAACUGGCAAGCUAGAGUAUGGUAGAGGGUGGUGGAAUUUCCUGUGUAGCGGUGAAAUGCGUAGAUAUAGGAAGGAACACCAGUGGCGAAGGCGACCACCUGGACUGAUACUG
rnacentral:rRNA from 1 species